rnacentral:rRNA from 1 species
GGGGUGUAUUUAUUAAAUAAAAAACCAAUGCCCUUCGGGGCUUUUUGGUGAUUCAUAAUAACUUAACGAAUCGCAUGGCCUUGCGCCGGCGAUAGUUCAUUCAAAUUUCUGCCCUAUCAACUUUCGAUGGUAGGAUAGUGGCCUACCAUGGUUUCAACGGGUAACGGGGAAUUAGGGUUCGAUUCCGGAGAGGGAGCCUGAGAAACGGCUACCACAUCCAAGGAAGGCAGCAGGCGCGCAAAUUACCCAAUCCCGACACGGGGAGGUAGUGACAAUAAAUACUGAUACAGGGCUCUUUUGGGUCUUGUAAUUGGAAUGAGUACAAUUUAAAUCCCUUAACGAGGAACAAUUGGAGGGCAAGUCUGGUGCCAGCAGCCGCGGUAAUUCCAGCUCCAAUAGCGUAUAUUAAAGUUGUUGCAGUUAAAAAGCUCGUAGUUGAACCUUGGGCCUGGCUGGCCGGUCCGCCUCACCGCGUGCACUGGUUCGGCCGGGCCUUUCCUUCUGGGAAUCUGCAUGCCCUUUACUGGGUGUGUUAGGGAACCAGGACUUUUACUUUGAAAAAAUUAGAGUGUUCAAAGCAGGCCUUUGCUCGAAUACAUUAGCAUGGAAUAAUAAAAUAGGACGUGCGAUCCUAUUUUGUUGGUUUCUAGGACCGCCGUAAUGAUUAAUAGGGAUAGUCGGGGGCAUCAGUAUUCAAUUGUCAGAGGUGAAAUUCUUGGAUUUAUUGAAGACUAACUACUGCGAAAGCAUUUGCCAAGGAUGUUUUC